rnacentral:rRNA from 1 species
UACGGAGGGUGCGAGCGUUGUCCGGAAUCACUGGGCGUAAAGGGCGCGUAGGCGGCUUUUUAAGGGUGCGGUGAAAGCCCGGGGCUUAACCCCGGGUCGGCCCGUGCCGACUGAAAAGCUGGAGCACUGUAGAGGCAGGUGGAAUUCCGGGUGUAGCGGUGGAAUGCGUAGAGAUCCGGAAGAACACCAGUGGCGAAGGCGGCCUGCUGGGGCAGUUGCUGACGCUGAGGGCGCGA